AGGGGAGCAAUCCCCUGAGUACAGCGGCGCACGGGUGAGUAACACGUAGGUGAUCUCCCCUCGAGCCCGGAAUAACCUACCGAAAGGUGGGCUAAUACCGGAUAUGACCACGGAAGUUUCGGCUUCUGCGGUGAAAGAUGGCCUCUACCUGUAAGCUAUCACUCAAGGAUGAGCCUGCGUGCCAUUAGCUAGUUGGUGAGGUAACGGCUCACCAAGGCGAUGGUGGCUAGCUGGUCUGAGAGGAUGGCCAGCCACACUGGGACUGAAACACGGCCCAGACUCCUACGGGAGGCAGCAGUGGGGGAUAUUGCGCAAUGGGCGAAAGCCUGACGCAGCGACGCCGCGUGGGUGAUGAAGGCCUUCGGGUCGUAAAGCCCUGUCGAGGGGGACGAAUCGGUUGCGACCUAACACGUCGUGAUCCUGACGGUACCCCUAAAGGAAGCACCGGCUAACUCCGUGCCAGCAGCCGCGGUAAUACGGAGGGUGCUAGCGUUGUUCGGAAUCACUGGGCGUAAAGCGCGUGUAGGCGGCCCAUUAAGUCUGAUGUGAAAGCCCGGGGCUCACCCCCGGAAGUGCAUUGGAGACUGAUGGGCUCGAGUCCCGGAGAGGAGGGUGGAAUUCCUGGUGUAGCGGUGAAGUGCGUAGAUAUCAGGAGGAACACCGGUGGCGAAGGCGGCCCUCUGGACGGUGACUGACGCUGAGACGCGAAAGCGUGGGGAGCAAACAGGAUUAGAUACCCUGGUAGUCCACGCCGUAAACGAUGAGCACUAGGUGUCGCGGGUAUUGACCCCUGCGGUGCCGACGCUAACGCAUUAAGUGCUCCGCCUGGGGACUACGGCCGCAAGGCUAAAACUCAAAGGAAUUGACGGGGGCCCGCACAAGCGGUGGAGCAUGUGGUUCAACUCGACGCAACGCGAAGAACCUUACCUGGGCUAGACAACGGAGCCC
rnacentral:rRNA from 1 species